GGCUGGUCCACAGAGUGAGUUACCUCAGUCAAUUACAGCUGAACUCCUUGUUCCACUCUUUCUCCCUUCUCACUACUGCACUUGACUAGUCUUUAAAAAAA
rnacentral:Y_RNA from 1 species